AGAGUUUGAUCCUGGCUCAGGAUGAACGCUGGCGGCGUGCUUAACACAUGCAAGUCGAACGGACAGGUAAUGAAACCUAGUGAUUUAUCUGUUAGUGGCGGACGGGUGAGUAACGCGUGGGUAACCUGCCGUAUACAGGGGGAUAACACUUAGAAAUAGGUGCUAAAACCGCAUAAGCGCACAGGAUCGCAUGGUCCGGUGUGAAAAACUCCGGUGGUAUACGAUGGACCCGCGUCUGAUUAGCUUGUUGGCGGGGUAGAGGCCCACCAAGGCGACGAUCAGUAGCCGGCCUGAGAGGGUGAACGGCCACAUUGGGACUGAGACACGGCCCAAACUCCUACGGGAGGCAGCAGUGGGGAAUAUUGCACAAUGGGGGAAACCCUGAUGCAGCGACGCCGCGUGAGUGAAGAAGUAUUUCGGUAUGUAAAGCUCUAUCAGCAGGAAAGAAAAUGACGGUAUCUGACUAAGAAGCCCCGGCUAACUACGUG
rnacentral:rRNA from 1 species